rnacentral:rRNA from 1 species
AGAGACAGCAGCAGCCGCGGGAAUACGGAGGGUGCAAGCGUUAAUCGGAAUUACUGGGCGUAAAGCGCACGCAGGCGGUCUGACAAGUCAGAUGUGAAAUCCCCGGGCUUAACCUGGGAACUGCAUUUGAAACUGUCAGGCUGGAGUCUUGUAGAGGGGGGUGGAAUUCCAGGUGUAGCGGUGAAAUGCGUAGAGAUCUGGAGGAAUACCGGUGGCGAAGGCGGCCCCCUGGACAAAGACUGACGCUCAGGUGCGAAAGCGUGGGGAGCAAACAGGAUUAGAUACCCGUGUAGUCCCUGUCUCUUAUAC